AGAUUUUUGCACAUAUUCAUCUUUUUGGCCGUUUUCGGUGCUUUUUGACUGUUUGGAACAUUUUUAAACAUUACGUUAAAACGUUGUUGAUACUUACUGAAAUAUUGUUUUGUUUAAACAAAUAAUAAUAACCACUAUAAUAACGUCAGUAUAAUACAAACGGAAGGGGAACGAAGUUCAUACUAUAAUACAAAUGUAAUAACAUAAAAAGCGACAACGAUAAUAACUUAUUUGCCAUCAGUUAACUUUUUAUUUCAAGCCUUCUUAUAAAUAACUGAAUAAUUUGAAUAUAAUUUCAUGCAACCAAUUUUACGACAAAAAUCUACAACAUCAACUACAACAACAACUAAAGAAAAUAGUAAAACAAAUAAAGUUAAAUUUCAGUUGUAUGAAAAAACAAAAAGUGAUUUUUAGUUAGUUUCUCAAAAUUUAACAAACAAAAUUCACAACAAAAUUUGGAAUACAACUACAAACACCGCAACAACAACUACAGCAAUAACAGCAACAAUUACAACCACUGCAACAAACAACAACAAACAACCAACCGAUAACAACUGCAAAACCAAGAAAAUAAUAUAACAAAAGUAACAGAGGAACAUAAUAAUAUAAGAGAAUUGUAACCAUAAUAAAGAGCCUAAUUAAGCAAACUAAACCGAGAACUAAAUCAAAGCGCAACAAUUAACGAAUAACACAACCAAAAGGAAACAGCCAACAAACCCAAACCAGCAAACAAACGAAAUAGCCAACAAACACCCCAAGAAACAGCAACAGAACAAAGCAACCGAAACAAAAGCAAAUAGCAAAGCAACCGAAGCAACUCAAAACCAACCGAAACAGAAUCAGAACCUGAAAUAGCCUUACAAAUAUCCCCCGAGCCCAACCCAAUAGCAGAAUUGAAGAGAUACAACCGAUAACUGAACCCGAUAACAGGACAACAGGAUAACAGGAUAACAAAUAGAAAAUAGAGCAACGAAACAGCAACAAAAAUGCAACAGCAGAAGAGAAAUCUGAAAUUCAAAACCAAAAGCCAAUCAAACAAAAAAGAACACAAAAACGGAAAUAGCCAAAUUUGUUAAAUUUAUUUUGUGUGUUUUUAACGGAAAAAAAGCAUAAAUAAAAAGUCGAACGGAAAUAAUUAUAAAAAACCACAAAUAUUUGUCGUUUAUAAAAUUGAACUCCUGUGUUGAAGUUUAUACAUUCGCCUUAGUCCUUAAAUUUUGCGUUCGUCAAAAAAGCGGUCGAGAAAAUGUUCUGAAAAAGUCUUGAAUGAAUCAAGGCGAGAAACACUUUGUAAACUUUGGGAGGUGAAGCAAUUGAAUUAAAAAGAAAGCGGCAAAAACUAUUUCGCAAGUGAAGAGCGGCAAGCUGUAAAAGCAGUUUUGUGCCAAAGUUGCGCGAUCACGAGUGUACUUUCGUGUAUGAGUGUCGUGGCAGUGCUAGAAUAUCACGUUGACCGAUGACGAGAUAAAUCGAAUCGCGAGGAACAUCACUAUAUCAAUAUAUAUCCAUAUACAAAUUAUUUAAAAUUGUUCAUAUCGUGGCAAAAGCUAAAUAUGAUCUAAAAGAAAGUAAAAUCCGUUUUCGAAAGCAUUUCGUACUUACAAAAAAUUAACCAACAUUAGUAGUGAGAAAAAGAUAAACAAAACAAAAAAUAAAAUUCCAUUCGGAUAAGAGGAACGUUCUAGGCUUAAAACUAAAAUAUAUUACUAUUAACGAUAAUACGAGUUUUUGAGGAUCCCUAAAAUAAAGAAGAGACAAAAGAAGACACCGUUUUUCUGGCAUUACUCAAGAGUCCCCCUACACCCACUAGCAUCUUAUCAGAAGAAAUCAUUUCAAGGAAAUCGUCUUUGCAAGUCAACUUGUUGAACCAAAGGAAUAUCGCAUCAAUUACAACUUGGAAACCCAUUUUAAACAAACAGAGGCAAAAGAUAAAAUAUCAUUUCAAAUAAAAAAGCUAGAGUAACGACUUCCG